rnacentral:lncRNA from 1 species
CUCAGAUCCCCCCAUCGCACCCCUCCUCUCCUCCCUCGUCCCCAUCUCCUCGCCGCCGCCGGCACCUCCUCCCCGUCCCCGCCUCCCUCCCGAUCCCCACAUCCUCCCUGUCAUACCCCAUUCCAAUCUCCCCAGUCCACAGCCGCCCCAAACCCCCAUCCCUCCCUCCCUCCCUCGUUCCCAGAUCCGAACCCUCCUCGAGAACCCUAGCCAGCCCAUGCCGCCGCCAAGCUCGCGGCCCUCGGCCGCCACGCCGUCGCGGGGUUCCUCCGCCAAGGCCACGCCCGAGGCCGACCAGGAGGCCUCGAUCACCAAGCGCCCCCGCAAGGGCACCUCCUCCGGCAAGAAGAAGCCAGCGCCCAAGGCCGCCAAGAAGCAGCAGAAGGCCUUCAAGGCGCCGCGGGAGAAGAAGGAGAAGGGGUAGGAGAACCCGGUAGCGGAGGACGUGGUGUGCAGGGAGGAGCCCGACGAGGAAGAGCUGGCGCUCGGGGAGGAGGACCAGAUGGCCGCCUCCGGGGAGCAGCAGCAGGAGACGGCGGCGGCGGCCAAGAGGCGUGUGGCGCAGGCGACCAAGAAGGCCCGGAACGUGGCCGCCGGCGACAGGGAGCCCGAGUUCCUCGACGAGCUCGUCCCCGCCGACGAGGCCUGCGACAAGUGGCCGCAGCGCUACCAGCGCGGCUCCUCCCAAGUGGUGCGUCCCGGAUCUCAUCUCUUUCAUGCUUUUCCGUUAGGCCGGUUGGUUGCUUACGAAGAUUACGGGGAGAGAGGAGACUGGAUCCGUGAUUAACAGGGAAUUAAGGGAAUGGAUCCUGACCGACACCAAGUUCUCAAAACAAAACGGUUGUUUUCGGCACUUUGCAAUGCCAUCUCGCUUUGUUACUCCUAGACUCCAUGUUGCGAAAUCAUUUCAGUUAGUUCCAUCGCUCCAGCACAUACCAGUCAUUACAGCUUAGUUCUUGAUCGCUGCAGCGUAUACACCAAACUUAGUUCGUCGCCGUGAAAUACAGUUGCCAAAUUAGUUCAAGGAGCUUUGUAAAAUUUUCUGAGAUUUUUGACAGGAGAGAAGAAUCAUGUAUGCUGGCGUUUGAUCAUAGCGAGAUCUUGACAGAUGUAGGUCACAGCUCACAUGUAUUUUUUGGUCCUAAUGAUUCUCUGAUCCCUUUUUGUUUUUGCUGGUCUUAUCGAUCACAGUUUCGCGUGUUUCUCUUAACUGAAAAAAAGGAUCAUCUCAGAUCAGCUUAUCUCUUCGGAUUUUGGUAAUAAAAUGGUAAAUUCAUGAAGAUGGUCAGAGAAGAUUAGCGUGGUUUUUCUGUGCAAAAUAUCGCAUUUCGCUUGGCUAAAUUUUCAUAGCUCGUCUCAGUUCUGCUUGCAUUGUGCACUGCUUCGCUUAGAAACGCACCUGUCUUGGGACAGUUGAGGCGAACAUCUCCAUGAUCAAAAGCCGUUGAUGACACACCCACGUUGAACUAGCACCUGCAAGAGCUAGUAGCAGCUUAGUACAUGCAUGAUCAGCCUACGGUUCCAUGACCAUAAGCCUGCACUGACACUACGGCCGAGUAGAUCAGUUUCACAAAAAGUUGAGUGGCGCACACUAGUGAGUGAGCCAGCUAUUAUACAUCAGAAACGUAGUCCUUUUGGAUUUUCUUAUUUUCCAGGGUAAAAUCAUACUCCCUUUGUUGCUAAAUAUAAGUCUUUUAACAGAUUUCACUAGCGGUCUACAUACGGAGCAAAAUGAAUAAAUCUAUACUCUAAAAUAUGCUAUGUACAUACGUAUAUAGUCCACUAGUGGAACCUUUAGAAAGACUUAUAUUUAGAAACGGAGGGAGUGGAUGGAAUCCACGGUAGGGUUAAGAACACCAGUGACACCAAUCCACGGUAGGAGUACGUACAGCUAGCUAAGCUAAGCUAGCUAUGGCUGGAAAUGUGGAGAGUGCUAGAUAGUGGAGGUGGUAGGCAUGCGAUUCCUGCUUUUUAACCUGUUGAUUAUAGUAGAUGAGUAGCACUGUGUGCCCUACGCAAGCUAAACUAGAAGCUAGCUAGAGCCUCCCUUGCUGCUUUUUUAACGGGCAAGCUUGUUGAUUCCUGCUUGAUUGACAGCAAUUUUGUGUAUAUCAACAACCGGUCCUAAACUACCAUUUUCAUCUACCAGUGGGGUGAUUCCCGCUCAACAUCCUCAUGUACGCACGCCCUUCUUCUAAUCCCAUGGCUCCACUGUCAUUGUUUGUCAGGUUCAGGUUCAGUUAGGAAAGGGGUUAACAAGUUGGCAGGUAACUCCUUUUCAUCAAUGAGAGACGAGAGAAGCAAGGCCAAGGGAAGGUAAGCUUAAUACAGUUUUGGGUUCAGUUUGUCGCUCUGAAUCUUCAAUACAGAACCAGAGAACCUGACUCUUCCCCUUGAUUGUCGUACGUGUCGUUCUUUCGGGUACCCAUUACCCAACCCACCAUCUAGUCUAGCUAAUGCAGUAACUCUCUAAGCUGAACCUCCCCGCAAGAUUAGCUUACCAUCCGGUGCCAUGUCAUUUCCUGUAAUCUCAACUGAAGAACAAUGCAUCACUCGGCCUUAUUUUAUACUUCUACUAGUGAUUGUUCCAUGGAAUAAAAGCUUAAGCAAUACACCUGCAGGUUUUCUUAGGGUGAGUUCAAUCAGGUUCCCAUCUGACUCUGAGUAGUGGGUACUGACAGUGCUGCCUCUGUUGCUAAGCAGGUUCGCCUCCCUUGCUGGUUAUACCAGUGCUUAAGUCGUCAUCCUUUAUGGAUCAAUCAUAGGGAGCUCUGUGUCUUGUUAGUAUGUUGUCUUUGUUCUUUGUUCAGACUAACAGUGGGAUGCAAUUUUCUUGUCACUGUUUGAACAUCGCAUAUGCAUAUUUUUUACCAAAGCCUAUGCCUUGCAGGUGUUUUCACCGAGUUGAUUCAGGAGAUGCAAGUAAAAGGUGUACAGGUUAGCUUUGUCAUGCAAUGGUGUAAUUUAGCUAUACAACCUGUUAUCAGUUAGUUUUGAUAUUUAGUCAUGCAAUGGUGUAAAAUACUUGGUUGGAAUUGCUUGUUGAACUGUGCAGUUUAAGAAUAGACAUUUGUCUCCAUUUUUUCCUUCACGUGUUAGCUUUGUCAUAAGUCAAACUUCCUGAAGUUUAACCUGGUUUAUAAAAAAACAUGAGCAUUUACAAUACCAAAUCAAUACAUCUAGUGCCAUGGUGUAAAAUAUGUUCAUACUGUAAUUAUUUGAUGUAAUUUGUUUAUCUCCUACGUAAUUUGUUUGCCCUCCUCACGAGCGCUCCUCCCAAUUUCGUUUCUUUUUUCUUCUACUUCUUCUUGGUCUUCUUUUGCUUUUCUUUUCUAAACUCCCCCGCCCUCACGUAAUCUUUUGGGAAAAGGAAAAGGGAAUAAAUUUAAUGUGUGGGGAGGAUUAAAAAUGGGCAGGUAAGUGAGGCACGUCAGGGCCGCAUUUGUAAGGGUGUGCAUUAUUUGACCCCAGAGCUGGGCACUUAUUAUAUUUACUUUGUGACCUCCUCUGCUUUUGGCUUUAUCCAUCCUCUAUGUGUGUAUUUUUUUUUGCUCUUUUGCUGUUGUCUUUUUUUUCACUGUGCACAUGGACCUAACGCAAAGUCGUUCCCCUCCCUACCACCACAUGCCAACUGUCUAGCAAAGCAAAAAUAAAUUAGCUAUGGCAUGCAUUGCUUUGACCAGAGCGGCAUGUGUUUAAAAAAACCUCACCAAGUUCAUAUGUUAGCACCACAUCAAUACGUUUUUAAAAGAUUUCAACUAAUUUAAUAUUUUUAAUGAGAUUUGACCAGAAGCAAUUGUCUUAAAAACAUAUCCAAACAUAAUUGGAUUUUCUUUGACACGUUUUGACAAGAUUAACAUAUUUCAAAGGAAUUAUACUGUUUUCAAUGGAUCUUUUCCCCACUAAAUUAUACUCCCUCCGUUCCAAAAUAACUGUCUCAACUUUAUACUAUAUCUAGUAUAAAUUUAUACUAAGCUUAGGACAGUUAUUUUGGGACGGAGGGAGUACUAGAAAAUGGGCUGGACCCUGAAAAAUCACACAGCUAGUAGAUUCCACAUUGUUUUCUUGAUAUAAACCUGCAAUUUUUCAGUUGAAAAAGACGACCUGCCAAACAUUUCCACAAUAUUGAUCGUCCAAUAUCUACAAACAGCACCAAAGGUUACUUCUUAUAGUAGUACCAAUCAGAUACAAAAUUAAGAAAAUAAUGUACUGGUAGAAAGAAAUUAAAAUGUUGUUUAGUUAUAUCCCACGCAUCAUCCAUUGUAAACAGGACAACUCAUGCUGCUCUAUGUUUCCCUGCAUGCAUACCAUCUAUUAGUGGUUGUAUAUUGUGUAGACUAAAGGACUUGUAGUUACUCUAUAUUUCCCUGCAUGCAUACCAUCUAUUAGUAUAUUGUGUAGACUAAAGGACUUGUAGUCGAAAUAAAAUCAAUCAAGCUUUUACAAGAAUGACAACGCUAAUGGAAUGUAACAGCUAGAACGAAUUCAUAUUUUCACUCAGGUGCAAAUGGAGAUUUAACUUAAAUACAUAAAGGGACUCGGCCAAUGAUUAUACACAGAAGAUAUUUUAAAAAUACAGAAGCCACUAAAAAUGCUAGUACAUAAAAGAUGUCCAUUCAAUUACUUACCCAUUGUCUUGAACCUCAUCAGAUUCCUUGGUGGGGCUAACGUUCUCCUUGGAAGCAUUCUCAGGUGCAUCCAUAGAGGUAAUGGUGGCCCUGUCCCCUGUUCUUCUGUAGUCCCAUGUUCACCAUUCUCCUGUAUUUUGCACUAUUUGUCAUGCAUUUAUAUAUGGUUUCAUCAUAUCUAACGCACGGAACAAAGACCUUACUCUCGCAACACAGAACUGAGACCUCACAAUCACAGUACAUUUAGAAUUUGGAUAACUGGACUUAUUUACUAUGUCCUCAAUUGAUGCCUCCUUUUGCUUAAAUAAAUAGGUUGCUACUUCAUUGUUUAGUGGUGUAGCCUUUUACAGAAUUUAAAUGGUUUGUCCCCUGUAUUAUCACAUCUUUCCAGACUAUUAAACAUAUGCAUGCUGAUAAAACAACAUUUAACCCGAGUUAUCUUUGUCAAUAUUUGCUUAAAUAAAUAUAUCUCUGUAUAGACCUCGAAAUUGGUAUACCUCAGUGGUUGAACUUGCAUAAUGUGAUACUAAUACUAAUGUCUUCUCCUACUUGGAAGAAAUGGAUUAUUAAUUAUCAUGCUUAUAUUUAUGUUGCAAGAAAUGUUUGCCAAGUUGAAUUUGAAUAAUCAAAUUUUACCUUCUUGGUUGAAUUGUUUCCUCCACAUUGUUGAUCAUGUUGAAGGCCAUUGCUAUGGAUUUGUUUUCAGGAGAAGUAUGUUGGCGCGACACGGGUGAAUGGCUAGCUGGAGGAAAUGUAUUUGCUACUAUUUUUGCUAUAUUCCUGUGUAAGGAAAUGUAUCCAUGAGAUGAGAUAUUGUGUUAUGUAAACCUGGGAGAUGUAUUAUGUGAUGUUAUAUGAUGGAUGAUUUUAAUUCGACUUGGAGUUUUCUUGAUUUGAAUAUGAAGUAGUGCUGCAUUUAAUAUUGGACAAAUAAUUGGUUGAAAAGGCCCAAUAAAUAGAAAUGAGACCAAGUUCUCAAAAAAAAAUGCUGAAUUCAAAAAUGAAAAAAGGCCAAAACUAAAACUGGAUCAAAUGUAUUUGGGCAUGAAAAGG